AGCGAACGCUGGCGGCAGGCCUAACACAUGCAAGUCGAACGAAGUCUUCGGACUUAGUGGCGGACGGGUGAGUAACACGUGGGAACGUACCUUUUGGUUCGGAACAACUCAGGGAAACUUGGGCUAAUACCGGAUGAGCCCUUAGGGGGAAAGAUUUAUCGCCGAAAGAGCGGCCCGCGUUAGAUUAGCUAGUUGGUGAGGUAAAGGCUCACCAAGGCUACGAUCUAUAGCUGGUCUGAGAGGAUGAUCAGCCACACUGGGACUGAGACACGGCCCAGACUCCUACGGGAGGCAGCAGUGGGGAAUCUUGCGCAAUGGGCGAAGGCCUGACGCAGCCAUGCCGCGUGAAUGAUGAAGGUCUUAGGAUUGUAAAAUUCUUUUACCAGGGACGAUAAUGACGGUACCUGGAGAAAAAGCCCCGGCUAACUUCGUGCCAGCAGCCGCCGAAA
rnacentral:rRNA from 1 species